UACGAAGGUCCCAAGCGUUAUCCGGAUUUAUUGGGCUUAAAGGGUGCGUAGGCGGCUUAUUAAGUCAGUGGUGAAAGCUCCAUGCUUAACAUGGAAAUUGCCAUUGAUACUGAUGAGCUUGAGUAUAUUUGAAGUGGGCGGAAUGUGUCGUGUAGCGGUGAAAUGCUUAGAUAUGACACAGAACACCGAUUGCGUAGGCAGCUCACUAAACUAUAACUGACGCUGAGGCACGAAAGCAUGGGGAUCAAACAGG
rnacentral:rRNA from 1 species